CAAUAAAUCACAAUGCGGAACUAUUAGUUUUGCAAUUGGAUUGAGAACAACGUACAAACCUUAUCGAUAAACAAUUGGAGGGCAAGUCUGGUGCCAGCAGCCGCGGUAAUUCCAGCUCCAAUAGCGUAUAUUAACGUUGUUGCAGUUAAAAAGCUCGUAGUUGAAGUGAGGAGGUAGAGACAAUAAAGAAUGGUGAGAUUGCGUGAACCUUGAUGAAUAUCUGGACAAGCACAGAGUGUCAGCAGACGUUUAUCAGGAGCUUUUUUAUCGUUGUCAGCUAAAUCGCUCUUAGAAAAAGAAUCUGCACUAUUUUUAUAAGGACCAACUCAUUCAAGAAUCUUUUAAAGUUUCACAUUGU
rnacentral:rRNA from 1 species